GAUGAACGCUGGCGGCGUGCUUAACACAUGCAAGUCGAGCGAAGCGCAUUACUUCGAAUUUUUCGGAAGGAGAAGUGCUGCGACUGAGCGGCGGACGGGUGAGUAACGCGUGGGCAACCUGCCUCAUACAGGGGGAUAACAGUUAGAAAUGACUGCUAAUACCGCAUAAGCCCGCGGUGUCGCAUGACACGGCGGGAAAAACUCCGGUGGUAUGAGAUGGGCCCGCGUCUGAUUAGCUAGUUGGCGAGGUAAUGGCUCACCAAGGCGACGAUCAGUAGCCGGCCUGAGAGGGCGACCGGCCACAUUGGGACUGAGACACGGCCCAAACUCCUACGGGAGGCAGCAGUGGGGAAUAUUGCACAAUGGGGGAAACCCUGAUGCAGCGACGCCGCGUGAAGGAGGAAGUAUUUCGGUAUGUAAACUUCUAUCAGCAGGGAAGAAAAUGACGGUACCUGACUAAGAAGCCCCGGCUAACUACGUGCCAGCAGCCGCGGUAAUACGUAGGGGGCAAGCGUUAUCCGGAUUUACUGGGUGUAAAGGGAGCGUAGACGGCCAGGCAAGUCUGAUGUGAAAACCCGGGGCUCAACCCCGGGACUGCAUUGGAAACUGCCAGGCUCGAG
rnacentral:rRNA from 1 species